CGGAAUAUGGUUCGCAGCCUGAUGCAGCCUGCCGCGUGAGUGAUGAAGGCCUUCGGGUUGUAAAGCUCUUUUGUCCGGGAAGAAGAUGACGGGGCCGAUCGAAGAAGCGCCGGAUAGCUUCGUGCCAGCAGCCCCGGUAAUAUUAUAUGCCAGCAGCCGCGGUAAUAA
rnacentral:rRNA from 1 species